rnacentral:tRNA from 1 species
GGCUCUGUGGUGCAAUGGAAGGCAUGUUAGCCUGCUAAACUGUGGUGGCUAAUGUGAGUGUAGCUAAACAUUCAGAAGUUGUGGGUUCAACUCCAACCAGAGUCA